GGACGGGGACAACAGUUGGAAACGACUGCUAAUACCCGAUGUGCCGAAAGGUGAAACCUAAUUGGCCUGAAGAAGAGCUUGCGUCUGAUUAGCUAGUUGGUGGGGUAAAGGCCUACCAAGGCGACGAUCAGUAGCUGGUCUGAGAGGAUGAGCAGCCACACUGGGACUGAGACACGGCCCAGACUCCUACGGGAGGCAGCAGUGGGGAAUUUUCCGCAAUGGGCGAAAGCCUGACGGAGCAACGCCGCGUGAGGGAGGAAGGUCUUUGGAUUGUAAACCUCUUUUCUCAAGGAAGAAGUUCUGACGGUACUUGAGGAAUCAGCCUCGGCUAACUCCGUGCCAGCAGCCGCGGUAAUACGGGGGAGGCAAGCGUUAUCCGGAAUUAUUGGGCGUAAAGCGUCCGCAGGUGGUCAGCCAAGUCUGCCGUCAAAUCAGGUUGCUUAACGACCUAAAGGCGGUGGAAACUGGCAGACUAGAGAGCAGUAGGGGUAGCAGGAAUUCCCAGUGUAGCGGUGAAAUGCGUAGAGAUUGGGAAGAACAUCGGUGGCGAAAGCGUGCUACUGGGCUGUAUCUGACACUCAGGGACGAAAGCUA
rnacentral:rRNA from 1 species